rnacentral:rRNA from 1 species
UACUGUAGAGGAUGCACUACACAGGAUGCUGUAGGUACAGGUGUACCAUGCAUACCCGGGUGCAUCUACAGCAUGUACUAUGCUACGUCCUAGCUACUGCAUGUAGCAGUACCAGCUGUACGUACUGGCUGUAGCUGUACAGCUGAUAGCAUAGCGUACUCACAUGGGUAGCUACAUGCUCAUAGUGCUAGCUGUGCAUACCACUGCAUGUACCCUUAGAUGCUACUACUGGUAGAGCUGUGUAUCAUGUCACUGGUGUACUGCGUGUACUGCUACUAGCUAUCCAUACGUAGGGUCUAAGUACCCAGCAUGAGUACACAGAGCAUCCACAGCAUGAGUACAGGUAUACAGUAUACUGUACCGCUGUCCUGCAUGGCAUGCUCUAGAGUACCUACCACCUGCAUAGCUAUGGGCUGACUGUCCCAUGACGCUAUCACCAUCCAGGGCUACGUACACCAUGUGGAGCACCUACGGGUACUCAGUAGCUGGAUCAUACGUACUGAGCAUGCGUUGCAUCAGUCGUACUACAGCUCU